GGGGAGUGUAUUACAGACCUGCUCCAGGUCAACAGUAGUCUUUCCAUUGAGUUCAAUGGGGAUUGGUUCUGGACCUAAAGCAAGAGUGGUGUAAUACAAGGUUUUGGAGCUCUUCCGAGCAGACAGUACCCCAGUAUCCUUCUUGAAUGUUUGGAAAACACCUGGCACAAAGAAGGUAAGGACACCUUUACCCACUUACCUUUAAUGGGCUUGGUCUUUGGAUGUGCAUGCGUAACAUCCACUACCAAUGGUGAAAACUACAUGCAUGAGAAUGAAGAAGAAAGGAUACCCCGCAUCAGGAAAGCAGGUCUGGAGCAGAAGAGCCCAUGCCUAGAUGGCUGGGUCGCAUCUGUUG